UCAUAACGGAGGAAAAGAAACCAACAGGGAUUGCCCCAGUAACGGCGAGUGAAGCGGCAACAGCUCAAAUUUGAAAUCUGGCCCCCUCGGGGCCCGAGUUGUAAUUUGCAGAGGGAGCUUUUGGCGUCGGUCGUGGUCUAAGUUCCUUGGAACAGGACGUCACAGAGGGUGAGAAUCCCGUACGUGGCCGCCGGCCUUCGCCUUGUAAAGCCCCUUCGACGAGUCGAGUUGUUUGGGAAUGCAGCUCUAAAUGGGAGGUAAAUUCCUUCUAAAGCUAAAUACCCGCCAGAGACCGAUAGCGCACAAGUAGAGUGAUCGAAAGAUGAAAAGCACUUUGGAAAGAGAGUGAAAAAGCACGUGAAAUUGUUGAAAGGGAAGCGCUUGCGGCUAGACGUGCCCGCGGUUGAUCAUCCAGGCUCCGGCCUGGUGCACUCCUCCGCGGGCAGGCCAGCAUCAGUUCGGGCGGUCGGAUAAAGGCCUCUGUCACGUACCACCCCUCGGGGUGGCCUUAUAGGGGAGGCGCAACACGGCCAGCCCGGACUGAGGUUCCGCGCAUCUGCUAGGAUGCUGGCGUAAUAGCAGCAAGCGGCCCGUCUUGAAACACGGACCAAGGAGUCUAACAUCUAUGCGAGUGUUUGGGUGUCAAGCCCGAGCGCGCAAUGAAAGUGAACGGAGGUGGGAACCCUCACGGGUGCACCAUCGACCGAUCCUGAUGUCUUCGGAUGGAUUUGAGUAAGAGCAUAGCUGUUGGGACCCGAAAGAUGGUGAACUAUGCCUGAAUAGGGUGAAGCCAGAGGAAACUCUGGUGGAGGCUCGCAGCGGUUCUGACGUGCAAAUCGAUCGUCAAAU
rnacentral:rRNA from 1 species